AGCGGGAUAAGCUCAAAUUUAAAAUCUGGCGGUCUUAGUGCNGUCCGAAUUGUAACCUAGAGAAGUGUUGCCCGNGCUGAACCAUGUAUAAGUCUCNUGGGAUGGAGUAUCAGAGAGGGUGAGAAUCCCGUCUUUGACAUGGACUUCCAGUGCAUUGUGGUAUGCUCUCAAAGAGUUGAGUUGUUUGGGAAUGCAGCUCUAAAUGGGUGGUAAAUUCCAUCUAAAGCUAAAUAUUGGCGAGAGACCGAUAGCGAACAAGUACCGUGAGGGAAAGAUGAAAAGAACUUUGGAAAGAGAGUUAAACAGUAUGUGAAAUUGUUGAAAGGGAAACGUUUGAAGUCAGUGAUAUUGGUNAGGGAUCAAGCCAAGCAUAUUCAUUUGCUUGGGUGUACUUCCUGGUUGAUAGGUCAACAUCAGUUCUGGCUGCUGGAAAAGGGCUAGCGGAAAGUGGCACCCUUUUGGGUGUGUUUAUAGCUGCUAGUCAUAUCAGUAGUUGGGACUGAGGA
rnacentral:rRNA from 1 species